GGAGGGUGCGAGCGUUAAUCGGAAUUACUGGGCGUAAAGCGAGUGCAGGCGGCUGCGUAAGUCGGAUGUGAAAGCCCUGGGCUUAACCUGGGAAUGGCAUUCGAAACUGCGCAGCUAGAGUCUGGUAGAGGGAAGUGGAAUUCCAGGUGUAGCGGUGAAAUGCGUAGAUAUCUGGAGGAACAUCAGUGGCGAAGGCGGCUUCCUGGACCAAGACUGACGCUCAGGCUCGAAAGCGUGGGGUAGCAAACAGGAUUAGAUACCCUGGUAGUCCACGCCCCUAAACGAUGUCAACUAGACGUUGGGUUCAUUAAAGAACUUAGUGUCGAAGCUAACGCGUUAAGUUGACCGCCUGGGAGUACGGCCGCAAGGUUG
rnacentral:rRNA from 1 species